UGUUGGAUGCUUUCACCACGGAUCGUCCGGCACGUACCUGCCGGUGAAGGAGAUAAAA
rfam:Marine metagenome ctg_1101668624842, whole genome shotgun sequence.